rnacentral:sRNA from 1 species
GCCAGGUGUGUUGGCUCACGCCUGUCAUCCCAGUGAUUUGGGAGGCUGAGACAGGAGGAUUGCAAGUUCAAAGCCAACUUAGUGAGGCCCUGUGCAACUUAGUGAAAGUCUGUCUCAA